rnacentral:rRNA from 1 species
CAGCAGUGGGGAAUCUUGCGCAAUGGGCGAAAGCCUGACGCAGCAACGCCGCGUGCGGGAAGAAGGCUUUCGGGCUGUAAACCGCUUUCAGCAGGAACGAAAAUGACGGUACCUGGAGAAUAAGGAGCGGCCAACUACGUGCCAGCAGCCGCGGUGACACGUAGGCUCCAAGCGUUGUCCGGAUUUAUUGGGCGUAAAGAGCUCGUAGGCGGUUGAGUAAGUCGGGUGUGAAAACUCUGGGCUUAACCCGGAGACGCCACUCGAUACUGCUCUGACUUGAGUUCAGGAGGGGAGUGGGGAAUUCCUAGUGUAGCGGUGAAAUGCGCAGAUAUUAGGAGGAACACCGGUGGCGAAGGCGCCACUCUGGACUGAAACUGACGCUGAGGAGCGAAAGCAUGGGUAGCAAACAGGAUUAGA